GAACGAAGAGGGUGGACUCGUCGUGCCGAGAAAGAGCUUCUAAGGUUAGGUUAUCAGGAACCGUACCGCAAACCGACACAGGUAGGCGAGCUGAGAAUGCUAAGGCGUACGGAAGAACUCACGUUAAGGAACUCGGCAAAUUACAUACGUAACUUAGGGAGAAGUAUGGCCUCCUUCGAGAGAAGAGGUUGCAGAGACCAGGCCU
rnacentral:rRNA from 1 species